rnacentral:rRNA from 1 species
GACGAACGCUGGCGACGUGCCUAACACAUGCAAGUCGAGCGAAUGAAGUUCCUUCGGGAAUGGAUUUAGCGGCGGACGGGUGAGUAACACGUGGGCAACCUGCCUCAUAGAGGGGAAUAGCCUUCCGGAAGGGAGAUUAAUACCGCAUAAGAUUGUAGUACCGCAUGGUGUAGCAAUUAAAGGAGCAAUCCGCUAUGAGAUGGGCCCGCGGCGCAUUAGCUAGUUGGUGAGGUAACGGCUCACCAAGGCGACGAUGCGUAGCCGACCUGAGAGUGUGAUCGGCCACAUUGUGGCUGAGACACGGCCCAGACUGCUACGGGGGGCAGCAGUGGGGAAUAUUGCACAAUGGGGGAAACCAUGAUGCAGCAACGCCGCGUGAGUGAUGCCGGCCUUCGGGUUGUAAAGCUCUGUCUUCAGGGACGAUAAUGACGGUACCUGAGGAGGAAGCCACGGCUAACUACGUGCCAGCCGCCGCUGUAACAC